GGGGAAGCACUAUACGCAUAGGUUUGUGCCUGAUGAAAAAAAUAAUGUAAGAAAAUAGAGUGUAUAGCAUAGUUUUAGGGUAUACCUUUAACAAAGAUAGAAGUUAAAUUAUUGUGUACUAAAAAGGGGACACAAUAAAACAUUUUUUAGGAAAAAGGGUAUUUGUGUUGACCAAGAUCCCAUGCAUGCUUUCUUUCUUCCUUUCUAUUUCCAAGACACCACGAG
rnacentral:lncRNA from 1 species